rnacentral:piRNA from 1 species
UAGGAAGAGACAAGAUGGAGACCUGAGU